UGACGCGCGGCAGGCUUAACACUGCAAGUCAGCGGAGCGAAGGUGCUGCACUAGCUAGCGGCGGACGGGUGAGUAAUGCUUAGGAAUCUGCCUAUUAGUGGGGGACAACGUUUCGAAAGGAACGCUAAUACCGCAUACGUCUACGGGAGAAAGCAGGGGAUCUUCGGACCUUGUGCUAUAGAUGAGCCUAAGUCGGAUAGCUAGUUGGUGGGGUAAAGGCCUACCAGGCGACGAUCUGUAGCGGGUCUGAGAGGAUGAUCCGCCACACUGGGACUGAGACACGGCCCAGACUCCUACGGGAGGCAGCAGUGGGGAAUAUUGGACAAUGGGCGAAAGCCUGAUCCAGCCAUGCCGCGUGUGUGAAGAAGGCCUUUUGGUUGUAAAGCACUUUAAGCGAGGAGGAGGAGCUUCAGGUUAAUACCCUGGAUGCUUGGACGUUACUCGCAGAAUAAGCACCGGCUAACUCUGUGCCAGCAGCCGCGGUAAUACAGAGGGUGCAAGCGUUAAUCGGAUUUACUGGGCGUAAAGCGUGCGUAGGCGGCUAAUUAAGUCAAAUGUGAAAUCCCCGAGCUUAACUUGGGAAUUGCAUUCGAUACUGGUUAGCUAGAGUAUGGGAGAGGAUGGUAGAAUUCCAGGUGUAGCGGUGAAAUGCGUAGAGAUCUGGAGGAAUACCGAUGGCGAAGGCAGCCAUCUGGCCUAAUACUGACGCUGAGGUACGAAAGCAUGGGGAGCAAACAGGAUUAGAUACCCUGGUAGUCCAUGCCGUAAACGAUGUCUACUAGCCGUUGGGGUCUUUGAGACCUUAGUGGCGCAGCUAACGCGAUAAGUAGACCGCCUGGGGAGUACGGUCGCAAGACUAAAACUCAAAUGAAUUGACGGGGGCCCGCACAAGCGGUGGAGCAUGUGGUUUAAUUCGAUGCAACGCGAAGAACCUUACCUGGCCUUGACAUACUAAGAACUUUCCAGAGAUGGAUUGGUGCCUUCGGGAACUUAGAUACAGGUG
rnacentral:rRNA from 1 species